UGAUGAGGGGAAUGUUGAGACGUUGGGGCACCUGGAGGCAGGUUGGAGGCACGUAGAGAACUAGAGGCAUCAUAGAGAGGCAAUCACUGAAGCAGCAGGAGAGUAGCACUCAGAAGUAGCAGAAGACAAGAGCACUUGGAAGCAGAAAGAAGAAACAUUGGCAGAAUGGGCUCCUUUGAUCACAGGCUGGCAUCAGACCCUUGUGGAGGAUUCUAGGACAUUUUAAAUUAUGAAACCUGAAAUUCCCAGCAAAUGCCAGACACUGAUGCUGCUGCCGUAAAUGCCAGCUUCCGCCUUGUGAUCACCCCAGGAGCGAGCUUUGAAUCCGAACUGUGCUGCGAAUCUGGUUGGAAUUCAAACUGGAAUUCAAACCCUGGCAUUUCCCAAGGGUUUCACGGGGGAAAAAAAGAGUCAACAGUCAGAUGGUCAGACAGUGGUCAGACAGCUCCCCACCUCCCCCACAUCAUGAGGAAUCAGGAAAAAAGACAAUCAGGCCCUGCCUGUGGGAACUAAUCAGGAAGUUUCAACAGAUUGACAGAUGUGUCAACCAAUCAGAUCGUGUCUGGGGAAACCAACAGGAUCUGCCCUCCACAGGGAUAUAUCCUCCGGAUUUCCCCAAGCGGCUCAAAACUGCAGAAAUCACAGUCUCUGGUAAUAGUAUACACAAUAAAAUAUAAAUUAAAUCUAUGGAAUUCA